CUUUUUUUCCUUUCUUCUCCUUUCUUUAUGACCCGAGCACCUUGGGUGGCGGGUCAUAAAGAAAGGAGAAGAAAAGAAAAAAAAG
rnacentral:pre_miRNA from 1 species